GUCGGCUAUGGCGACAUGGUCCCGACUACAAUUGGAGGCAAGAUAGUGGGCUCCCUCUGUGCCAUUGCAGGUGUGCUGACCAUUGCCUUGCCAGUGCCUGUCAUUGUGUCCAAC
rfam:Xiphophorus maculatus strain JP 163 A Contig848.1, whole genome shotgun sequence.